UGGUAGUGAUGUUGACAUGCAUUUAACAAUUGUUUAAAUCGAGCCCAUGCUUGGUACAUAUCCUCCACAUUUUUCUAUUUGAAACUCAAUAUCUCACUCCUUAACCU